UACGGAGGGGGCUAGCGUUGUUCGGAAUUACUGGGCGUAAAGCGCACGUAGGCGGCUUUGUAAGUUAGAGGUGAAAGCCCAGGGCUUAACCCUGGAAUUGCCUUUAAGACUGCAUCGCUAGAAUUGUGGAGAGGUAAGUGGAAUUCCGAGUGUAGAGGUGAAAUUCGUAGAUAUUCGGAAGAAACACCAGUGGCGAAGGCGACUUACUGGACACAUAUUGACGCUGAGGUGCGAAAGCGUGGGGAGCAAACAGG
rnacentral:rRNA from 1 species